rnacentral:misc_RNA from 1 species
UCCCGGUUGGCCCGGGCAGUCUCGCAUGAAAAAUACAACAUACGAUAAGGGUUGCGCUCGUUGCGGGACUUAACCCAACAUCUCACGACACGAGCUGACGACGGCCAUGCAGCACCUGUCACUAGGCUCCCGAAGGCACUCUCUGAUUUCUCAAAGAUCCCUAGGAUGUCAAGCCUUGGUAAGGUUCUACGCGUAGCGUCAUAUUAAACCACAUCAUCCUCUGCUUGUGCGGGUCCCCGUCAAUUCCUUUGAGUUUUAGCCUUGCGGCCGUACUUCCCAGGCGGCAUACUUAUCGCGUUAGCUGCGUCUCACAGGGGGUCGAUACCCCAUAAGACUAGUAUGCAUCGUUUACGGCGUGGACUAC